rnacentral:rRNA from 1 species
UACGUAGGGUGCGAGCGUUGUCCGGAAUUAUUGGGCGUAAAGAGCUCGUAGGCGGUCUGUCGCGUCGGUCGUGAAAACUUGGGGCUUAACCCUGAGCUUGCGGUCGAUACGGGCAUGACUGGAGUUCGGCAGGGGAGACUGGAAUUCCUGGCGUAGCGGUGAAAUGCGCAGAUAUCAGGAGGAACACCGGUGGCGAAGGCGGGUCUCUGGGCCGAUACUGACGCUGAGGAGCGAAAGCGUGGGGAGCGAUCCGG